GACGAACGCUGGCGGCGUGCUUAACACAUGCAAGUCGAACGAAGUGGCGAACGGGUGAGUAACGCGUAAUCAACCUGCCCUUCAGAGGGGGCCAACCGUUGGAAACGACUGCUAAUACCGCAUACUGAAGGAGGGGAUUGCGUCUGAUUAGCUGGUUUGAGGGGUACAGGCCCACCAAGGCGAUGAUCAGUAGCCGGUCUGGGAUGAGGAACGGCCACAUUGGGACUGGAACAAGGGCCAGACUCGUACGGGAGGCAGCAGUGGGGAAUCUUCGGCAAUGGAGGAAAGUCUGACGGAGCAACGCCGCGGGAGUGAUGACGGCCUUCGGGUUGUAAAGCUCUGUUAAUCGGGACGCGGUACCGGAAUAGAAAGCCACGGCUAACUACGUGCCAGCAGCCGCGGUAAUAC
rnacentral:rRNA from 1 species